UUGCUUUGGCAGCACAUUUACUAAAAAUGGAAUGAUACAGAGAAAUUAGCCUAACUCCUGCACAAGGUUGACACACAAUUCAUGAAGUGCCCCAUAUAUAU
ensembl:snRNA U6 U6 spliceosomal RNA